rnacentral:rRNA from 1 species
GAUGAACGCUGGCGGCGUGCCUAAUACAUGCAAGUCGAGCGAACAGACGAGGAGCUUGCUCCUCUGACGUUAGCGGCGGACGGGUGAGUAACACGUGGAUAACCUACCUAUAAGACUGGGAUAACUUCGGGAAACCGGAGCUAAUACCGGAUAAUAUAUUGAACCGCAUGGUUCAAUAGUGAAAGACGGUUUUGCUGUCACUUAUAGAUGGAUCCGCGCCGCAUUAGCUAGUUGGUAAGGUAACGGCUUACCAAGGCAACGAUGCGUAGCCGACCUGAGAGGGGGAGAUGGCACACAGGAAAAGGGACACGGGCCAGAGACCCAUGGGAGGCACAAGAAUGGGAAAUUACCCGAAGGGGGAAAAAUUGAAAGGGCAAAACGCCGGGAGGGAGAAAAGGCUUUGGGGAGUGAAAACCUUUUUUAUGGGAAAAAAAAAAAUGUAAAAAAAAAUGCGCGCGUUGAGGGGACCUAUAAAGAAAACCACGGGGAAAUACAC